GUCACACUUCCGGUGUCUCUCCUAUGGAUACAGUUAGCUAGCAGCUCUCCCUGUGUGUCCACCAACGUACUCACAGUGAAAUGCUUCGUAUGACUGGCAAAUAAAAAACUGCUGCUCACCAGGGAAAUGGCGCUCUCUGCACAGCAAGUCAUCAGUUUGGUUUAGCCCUGCGCAAUCUGGAAACUGGCAUCCCAUGACAUUCAAAGGCUGCAGAUACGUCGACUUCGCCGCCAUAUUGGAUGCGCCAGCUCUGCCCCAGUCAGUGGACUGAACUUUACAAAGCUCCUUCUACAAAGUGCUGCAGGUGAUGCUCAGGAGGGACAUGGCGCUCUCUGCACAUCAACUCAUCACUUUGGUUUAGCCCUGCGCAAUCUGGAAGCUGGCGUCCCAUGACGUUUGCCGGUGCUUCUCAAAUUAACAAAUAAAGGCCGAUUGAUGUGCCAUAAUGGGCUGGUUUCAUGCCUCUCAAUGCAACAACUGUUAAAACUUUGCCCCAUCCUCGCACUUCAGUAAAACUUCAGCUGCUCGUGCUUCAUUUUUUCAUAACCCCCUGCUUCCACCUCUCAGAAAGCCCGGGGAGGAGACACCGCUCCCCCCCAAGGCCCCGCAGACCAGCUUGGGCAGGAAUCGAACCCCGUGCGAGCACCUAUUCGCGCUACAAACACGCCUGAGACCCACCGCGCCACCAGUCCGCCAGACACUUCGACUACUUCUCUGGGCGCUUUUCAUUACGUACUUCAAACUUAGGACUUUUAUAAGAAUCAAACACAAAGUUCAUCGGGACUCGAACUCACAACCUCACAACUACUCACCAGACUCCUAUCAGCCUGAGCUACUGGAUCUGUCUGAUGCUCACUGUUUCUUUCACAUUUCACUCUUUUCAACCUCAACACAUGAAAAUAAAUCAAGAGUCGAACUCACAACCUCAAAACUUCCAACCCUGCUUUUACCCUGCUCAGCUAACUACAACUAACAACUGCAGCCUCUCUCAGAGCUUUUCACUCCUUCUUCUGACCAGCCACUUCAUAAAGAUUCACCAUCUUGGCACCAGCCUUCAAAACUCUGGCUGGCUUUGAACCCACAACCUUCACUUUUCUAACCAUCACUUUAGCUCACUGAGCUAAUGAGUUGGGGAGAAACUUCUCUUUCUCAGAGGAGGUCACUCUUUGUUUUGGAUAGCAGGUUUAAAAAUCACCGCAACUACCCAGGGUUUCAACGGCGAACCUUAAAUUUCAAUCAAGAAUCGAACCCACAACCUCAAAACUUACAACCCUGCUUUUACCCUGCUAAGCUAACUACAAGUAACAAUUGCACUCUCUCUCAGAGCUUUUCACUCCUUCUGACCAGCAACUUCAUAAAGAGUCAGGAUUCAAACCCACAACCUCCACACCAGUUCAUCACAUACCUGAAUGUCCUGCCUUUGACUCGUUUAUUUCAUCAGCUUACUUCAAAACUCACGCUGACUCAACGAUCCAACACACUGAGCUACCUGGACGGCAGGUAUCUGAACCUGAACUUUAUUUUGUGGCCAGGCCGUCUCACUUAGUCCGGCUGUGUCUCCAUUGGAUCGCUGCCCGCCACAAACAUCACUUUAGCAGCAGCUCCUUGUAUCAGGACCUCACCCUGCUGCUCUGGGAUCUGCCUCUGUACUCCUCCAACCUCACCCAGGUCUCAGAGACAUCAACUUACAGCACUUUGGAGAAGGACAUUUACAAACACAAUGGCUGCAAUGUCGGAUACUUCAUUUUACUUUAUUAAGUCUCUUUUUACACUGUCUUCCGCUGCUUAUUCCACUAAUUACUGAUGAAGAGGGAAAGCACAGCCAGCAACCAACCAACCAGAUCACUGACACACUGUUGGACAGCACGCUUUUACAAGCUCACCUCCAACAUGACAAGAUCAGCGUUUCACAGCUUCACAUCAGCCAAACAUAACAAACUAUAGGAAUGAAUGGUCAGAUUUGACAGAAAAAGCUGUACUUUUCAAAAGCUGAAAAGUCAUAGGUUGAAUGGCCUUCAAAGCCUCAGCAUUUUGGCUCAAAAAGAUGAAUAUUUUGUGCUUGCAGCAUUCACACUAAUCACUGGGCAGCCAUGUUAUUUUCAUGUGGAUCACACAAUGUGAUUCUGAACGGAAACAUUUCCUACCAGAUGGAACCUUCAGUGAUCAAAGUGAACAUUCCAUGAUGCGCGUCAGCGAGGGUAUAAAAGGGACAGCUUCAGGCUGGCUCAUCAUUUCACUUCAGCCGUCUGAAGAGGUCACACUGCUGAUCAAGCAGAGCGAGCAGCCAACACGCCGCGGCGGACAGCAGACUUUAACAACGCUCAUCUCCAACCACAUAGGAUCAGCGUUUCACUGCCUCACAUCAGCCAGAGAUAUAACCUGCUGUCAUCGCUGUCACACCGCAGGCCGCCACUCUGCAGCGUGAGCUUAAAAAACAAGUCAAGUCUCACGCACACAAGCUGUUGAGCCGGAGACCUUUUGCCAAAAGACGGCAAACAGAUCGCUGUCCGGCAGCAACACACCACAGAUGAUGUGAGGACCAGGCGUGAGGAGAAGUGCGGGGAACAGCCGACGGAGUACGAGGACGAGUCAGCGGAGCAGCAACAGUCGCUACCUGAAGUCCACCGAUAACGCACCACCGGCCCCUGAACUGAGGAGACGCUCCCAAAUACGCCACAGCGACCUUCAAUCCGGGUCGUGGGUUUCCUCCGGGUCCCUCGGUUCCCACAAGAAAAAGGGUACAAAUUGAAAAUCAAUUUGGAAAUUAAUCUGGACCUGAAUCUGGACCUGAAUCUGGACAUUAAUCUGGACCUCAAUCUGGACAUUAAUCUGGACCUGAAUCUGGACAUUAAUCUGGACCUCAAUCUGGACAUGAAUUUGGACAUGAAUCUGGACAUUAAUCUGGACAUGAAUUUGGACAUGAAUCUGGACAUUAAUCUGGACAUAAAUCUGGACAUGAAUUUGGAAAUGAAUGUGGAAAAUAAAAAUUUGAAAUGAAAUUGAAAAUCACUUGUCUGUAUUCAUCAUUGUAUUUUGUAGGAUGUUGUAUUUUUACAGUCACAUGUUUAAAGAGGUGGCACUUCAUUUUAUGCACAUGGUCAACAGGUGUUGUGGAAUAUCCUCAUCAACAGGAACAUUAUUACAUUCACUAAUGAAAACACAUUGACGACAUGGUCUGAGAGCGAUGCUAGCGGCUCCCUCAAGCUCGACUUAACAGCUACCACCACAAAUCAUUCAAUGUGUGGCAAAAACUGCUCAAUGCAAAACCCACAACAAUCUGACAUUUGUUUGUGUGUUAUUGCUUGGUGGUUUAGUUUAUAAGGUCAUUUCAAUUUUUGUCUUUACAUUUUGUGUAUUUUGUGUCACAUAUUUAAAUUUACGUAGCCUGUACUCGCCUACUCAACCAGAGUAGAAAUACAAAAAGCAAGAAAAAAAAAUGACGAAAUAUACAAGUUCAACAACACCAGGAAGGCCUGACACUCCAUCUCUGAAAUGCUCUGUGAAGUACCACGCUACAAAACACUGUCGCUCAGUGGAAUCAAGGAGGAAGCGAAGCUGUGGCUCAGCUAGACUUUAUACAUAGCAGAUUGAAAGAUGACCUGUGAGCAUCACAGCAUCUCUCUGUGGUUGCACGAGAUGGUGGGGUGGCCAAAGAGCCAAAAUAACAUGUUUUCGUGAUAACUGACCCAAAAAACAUCAUCACUUAGCAAUGACUCAUCACGAAAAAAUGACUUAUCACAAAAUAAUUAGUCUGUAUUACAAGAGAAUCAGAAACGUCCUCAAAAUAAUGACCAAGUAUUUCAAAUGAAUAAUUUGGUAUCUAUCUUUAUACUUUGUCAUAAAAACGAAUUAUCUCCAAAGAAUGAGAAACUACCAAAAUUACUUACAAUUAAUCCGUUUUUUAUCGGAAAAAACGUAAAUAAUCUAAAUGUUAUUUAGACACAUGAUGACUUCAUUACGAUUAAUUUGUUGACUUUUAUUUAGGACCACAUCUGUCUCAUCACCUUUACUGUCAUAUUCUCAGUGAUCAGACACCUGAGAUUAAAACGCUUUCUGUGAAAAUAACCCGCUUUGCAACGCACUGCUCCCCUGUCAAUGUUUGUUAUGUCAAUAAAGCUCUUUUGAAUUGACUUCAGGCCGUUUGACCAAUCACAGUUUCACACUUCCGGUGUCUCUCCUAUGGAUACAGUUAGCUAGCAGCUCUCCCUGUGUUUCCACCAACGUACUCACAGUGAAAUGCUUCGUAUGACCGGCAAAUAAAAAACUGCUGCUCACCAGGGAAAUGGCGCUCUCUGCACAUCAACUCAUCAGUUUGGUUUAGCCCUGCGCAAUCUGGAAACUGGCAUCCCAUGACAUUCAAAGGCUGCAGAUCGACUUCGCCGCCACAUUGGAUGCGCCAGCUCUGCCCCAGUCAGUGGACUGAACUUUACAAAGCUCCUUCUACAAAGUGCUGCAGGUGAUGCUCAGGAGGGACAUGGCGCUCUCUGCACAUCAACUCAUCACUUUGGUUUAGCCCUGCGCAGUCUGGAAGCUGGCAUCCCAUGACGUUUGCCGGUGCUUCUCAAAUUAACAAAUAAAGGACGAUUGAUGUGACAUAAUGGGCCGGUUUCAUGCCUCUCAAUGCAACAACUGUUAAAACUUUGCCCCAUCCUCGCACUUCAGUAAAACUUCAGCUGCUCGUGCUUCAUUUUUUCAUAACCCCCUGCUUCCACCUCUCAGAAAGCCCGGGGAGGAGACACCGCUCCCCCCCAAGGCCCCGCAGACCAGCUUGGGCAGGAAUCGAACCCCGUGCGAGCACCUAUUCGCGCUACAAACACGCCUGAGACCCACCGCGCCACCAGUCCGCCAGACACUUCAACUACUUCUCUGGGCGCUUUUCAUUACGUACUUCAAACUUAGGACUUUUAUAAGAAUCAAACACAAACUUAAUCAGGACUCGAACCCACGACCUCACAACUGCUCACCAGACUCCUAUCAGCCUGAGCUAUUGGAUCUGUCUGAUGCUCACUGUUUCUUUCACAUUUCACUCUUUUCAACCUCAACACAUGAAAAUAAAUCAAGAGUCGAACUCACAACCUCAAAACUUCCAACCCUGCUUUUACCCUGCUCAGCUAACUACAACUAACAAUUGCAGCCUCUCUCAGAGCUUUUCACUCCUUCUUCUGACCAGCCACUUCAUAAAGACUCACCAUCUUGGCACCAGCCUUCAAAACUCUGGCUGGCUUUGAACCCACAACCUUCACUUUUCAAACCAUCACUUUAGCUCGCUGAGCUAAUGAGUUGGGGAGAAACUUCUCUUUCUCAGAGGAGGUCACUCUUUGUUUUGGAUAGCAGGUUUAAAAAUCACCUCAGCUACCCAGGGUUUCAACACAAAACCACCACACGUCACUCAGUAUUAGGAGAAUCGAACCUGCGAUCUCAGAACUGCUGACCAGCCCUCUAUCAGCCUCAGCUACUCCAUCUGACUCAUACUUAUUGUUUCUUUCACAUGUCACUUUUUUCAAUGGCGAACCUUAAAUUUCAAUCAAGAAUCGAACCCACAACCUCAAAACUUACAACCCUGCUUUUACCCUGCUAAGCUAACUACAAGUAACAAUUGCAGCCUCUCUCAGAGCUUUUCACUCCUUCUGACCAGCAACUUCAUAAAGAGUCAGGAUUCAAACCCACAACCUCCACACCAGUUCAUCACAUACCUGAAUGUCCUGCCUUUGACUCGUUUAUUUCAUCAGCUUACUUCAAAACUCACGCUGACUCAAGGAUCCAACACACUGAGCUACCUGGACGGCAGGUGUCUGAACCUGAACUUUAUUUUGUGGCCAGGCCGUCUCACUUAGUCCGGCUGUGUCUCCAUUGGAUCGCUGCCCGCCACAAACAUCACUUUAGCAGCAGCUCCUUGUAUCAGGACCUCACCCUGCUGCUCUGGGAUCUGCCUCUGUACUCCUCCAACCUCACCCAGGGCUCAGAGACAUCAACUUACAGCACUUUGGAGAAGGACAUUUACAAACACAAUGGCUGCAUUGUCGGAUACUUCAUUUUACUUUAUUAAGUCUCUUUUUACACUGUCUUCCGCUGCUUAUUCCACUAAUUACUGAUCAAGAGGGAAAGCACAGCCAGCAACCAACCAACCAGAUCACUGACACACUGUUGGACAGCACGCUUUUACAAGCUCACCUCCAACAUGACAAGAUCAGCGUUUCACAGCUUCACAUCAGCCAAACAUAACAAACUAUAGGAAUGAAUGGUCAGAUUUGACAGAAAAAGCUGUACUUUUCAAAAGCUGAAAAGUCAUAGGUUGAAUGGCCUUCAAAGCCUCAGCAUUUUGGCUCAAAAAGAUGAAUAUUUUGUGCUUGCAGCAUUCACACUAAUCACUGGGCAGCCAUGUUAUUUUCAUGUGGAUCACACAAUGUGAUUCUGAACGGAAACAUUUCCUACCAGAUGGAACCUUCAGUGAUCAAAGUGAACAUUCCAUGAUGCGCGUCAGCGAGGGUAUAAAAGGGACAGCUUCAGGCUGGCUCAUCAUUUCACUUCAGCCGUCUGAAGAGGUCACACUGCUGAUCAAGCAGAGCGAGCAGCCAACACGCCGCGGCGGACAGCAGACUUUAACAACGCUCAUCUCCAACCACAUAGGAUCAGCGUUUCACUGCCUCACAUCAGCCAGAGAUAUAACCUGCUGUCAUCGCUGUCACACCGCAGGCCGCCACUCUGCAGCGUGAGCUUAAAAAACAAGUCAAGUCUCACGCACACAAGCUGUUGAGCCGGAGACCUUUUGCCAAAAGACGGCAAACAGAUCGCUGUCCGGCAGCAACACACCACAGAUGAUGUGAGGACCAGGCGUGAGGAGAAGUGCGGGGAACAGCCGACGGAGUACGAGGACGAGUCAGCGGAGCAGCAACAGUCGCUACCUGAAGUCCACCGAUAACGCACCACCGGCCCCUGAACUGAGGAGACGCUCCCAAAUACGCCACAGCGACCUUCAAUCCGGGUCGUGGGUUUCCUCCGGGUCCCCCGGCUCCCACAAGAAAAAGGGUACAAAUUGAAAAUCAAUUUGGAAAUUAAUCUGGACCUGAAUCUGGACCUGAAUCUGGACCUCAAUCUGGACAUUAAUCUGGACCUCAAUCUGGACAUUAAUCUGGACCUGAAUCUGGACCUGAAUCUGGACAUUAAUCUGGACCUGAAUCUGGACAUGAAUCUGGACAUUAAUCUGGACAUAAAUCUGGACAUGAAUUUGGAAAUGAAUGUGGAAAAUAAAAAUUUGAAAUGAAAUUGAAAAUCACUUGUCUGUAUUCAUCAUUGUAUUUUGUAGGAUGUUGUAUUUUUACAGUCACAUGUUUAAAGAGGUGGCACUUCAUUUUAUGCACAUGGUCAACAGGUGUUGUGGAAUAUCCUCAUCAACAGGAACAUUAUUACAUUCACUAAUGAAAACACAUUGACGACAUGGUCUGAGAGCGAUGCUAGCGGCUCCCUCAAGCUCUACUUAACAGCUACCACCACAAAUCAUUCAAUGUGUGGCAAAAACUGCUCAAUGCAAAACCCACAACAAUCUGACAUUUGUUUGUGUGUUAUUGCUUGGUGGUUUAGUUUAUAAGGUCAUUUCAAUUUUUGUCUUUACAUUUUGUGCUUUUUGUGUCACAUAUUUAAAUUUACGUAGCCUGUACUCGCCUACUCAACCAGAGUAGAAAUACAAAAAGCAAGGAAAAAAAUGACGAAAUAUACAAGUUCAACAACACCAGGAAGGCCUGACACUCCAUCUCUGAAAUGCUCUGUGAAGUACCACGCUACAAAACACUGUCGCUCAGUGGAAUCAAGGAGGAAGCGAAGCUGUGGCUCAGCUAGACUUUAUACAUAGCAGAUUGAAAGAUGACCUGUGAGCAUCACAGCAUCUCUCUGUGGUUGCACGAGAUGGUGGGGUGGCCAAAGAGCCAAAAUAACAUGUUUUCGUGAUAACUGACCCAAAAAACAUCAUCACUUAGCAAUGACUCAUCACGAAAAAAUGACUUAUCACAAAAUAAUUAGUCUGUAUUACAAGAGAAUCAGAAACGUCCUCAAAAUAAUGACCAAGUAUUUCAAAUGAAUAAUUUGGUAUCUAUCUUUAUACUUUGUCAUAAAAACGAAUUAUCUCCAAAGAAUGAGAAACUACCAAAAUUACUUACAAUUAAUCCGUUUUUUAUCGGAAAAAACGUAAAUAAUCUAAAUGUUAUUUAGACACAUGAUGACUUCAUUAUGAUUAAUUUGUUGACUUUUAUUUAGGACCACAUCUGUCUCAUCACCUCUACUGUCAUAUUCUCAGUGAUCAGACACCUGAGAUUAAAAUGCUUUCUGUGAAAAUAACCCGCUUUGCAACGCACUGCUCCCCUGUCAAUGUUUGUUAUGUCAAUAAAGCUCUUUUGAAUUGACUUCAGGCCGUUUGACCAAUCACAGUUUCACACUUCCGGUGUCUCUCCUAUGGAUACAGUUAGCUAGCAGCUCUCCCUGUGUUUCCACCAACGUACUCACAGUGAAAUGCUUCGUAUGACUGGCAAAUAAAAAACUGCUGCUCACCAGGGAAAUGGCGCUCUCUGCAGAUCAACUCAUCAGUUUGGUUUAGCCCUGCGCAAUCUGGAAACUGGCAUCCCAUGACAUUCAAAGGCUGCAGAUACGUCGACUUCGCCGCCAUAUUGGAUGCGCCAGCUCUGCCCCAGUCAGUGGACCCAACUUUACAAAGCUCCUUCUACAAAGUGCUGCAGGUGAUGCUCAGGAGGGACAUGGCGCUCUCUGCACAUCAACUCAUCACUUUGGUUUAGCCCUGCGCAAUCUGGAAGCUGGCAUCCCAUGACGUUUGCCGGUGCUUCUCAAAUGAACAAAUAAAGGCUGAUUGAUGUGCCAUAAUGGGCUGGUUUCAUGCCUCUCAAUGCAACAACUGUUAAAACUUUGCCCCAUCCUCGCACUUCAGUAAAACUUCAGCUGCUCGUGCUUCAUUUUUUCAUAACCCCCUGCUUCCACCUCUCAGAAAGCCCGGGGAGGAGACACCGCUCCCCCCCAAGGCCCCGCAGACCAGCUUGGGCAGGAAUCGAACCCCGUGCGAGCACCUAUUCGCGCUACAAACACGCCUGAGACCCACCGCGCCACCAGUCCGCCAGACACUUCAACUACUUCUCUGGGCGCUUUUCAUUACGUACUUCAAACUUAUGACUUUUAUAAGAAUCAAACACAAACUUAAUCAGGACUCGAACCCAUGACCUCAUAACUGCUCACCAGACUCCUAUCAGCCUGAGCUACUGGAUCUGACUGAUGCUCACUGUUUCUUUCACAUUUCACUCUUUUCAACUUCAACACUCCAAAAUUAAUCAAGAAUCGAACCCACCACUUUCAGUCUUUACAGCAGCGCUUUAUCUUCCUGAGCUAAUCAGUUGGGGAGAACCUUCUCUUUUGGAGAGGAUUUCACUCUUUGUUUUCCUCAUGAACUUUAAAAAUUAUCUCAGCUACCUCAGACCUACUAACCAGGUUCCUAUCAGCCUGAGCUACUGGAUCUGAUUGAUACUCACUGUUUCUUUCACAUUUCACUCUUUGUUUUGUUUUUGGACAUAAACUUUAAAAAUCACCUCAACUACCCAGGGAUUGAACCUGCAACCUCAGAUCUGCUAACCAGGCUCCUAUCAGCCCGAGCUACUGGAUCUCACUGUUUCUUUCACAUUUCACUCUUUUCAACAUCAACACGCAAAAGAAUCAAUCAAGACUCAAACCCACCACCUCAAAACUUCAAACCCUGCAUUCACCCCGCUGAGCUGACAGGAGCCAACAACCAAACUGUCUCUCACAGGUUGUCACGCAUUCUUCCAAACACUUCAUCACAGUGCACUGACCCAUUGAGCUUCCUGGACAUCAACUUCUUUGGACGUUGAAUUCAGGGACACCAACAGACUGGUCCCACCGCAUUCAUUUGCUGCAUAUUGUCCACUGCACUUGGUUAUAUACAAAACCUGACACAUUCUGGGGUUCACGUCACCUGACCACAUGACGUCACACCAGCGACACGUCCGUCGCACAGCUGGACUUCCAAACCAACGUAAACAAGAUACGUCGACUUCGCCGCCAUAUUGGAUGCGCCAGCUCUGCCCCAGUCAGUGGACUGAACUUUACAAAGCUCCUUCUACAAAGUGCUGCAGGUGAUGCUCAGGAGGGAAAUGGCGCUCUCUGCACAUCAACUCAUCACUUUGGUUUAGCCCUGCGCAAUCUGGAAGGUGGCAUCCCAUGACGUUUGCCGGUGCUUCUCAAAUGAACAAAUAAAGGACGAUUGAUGUGCCAUAAUGGGCCGGUUUCAUGCCUCUCAAUGCAACAACUGUUAAAACUUUGCCCCAUCCUCGCACUUCAGUAAAACUUCAGCUGCUCGUGCUUCAUUUUUUCAUAACCCCCUGCUUCCACCUCUCAGAAAGCCCGGGGAGGAGACACCGCUCCCCCCCAAGGCCCCGCAGACCAGCUUGGGCAGGAAUCGAACCCCGUGCGAGCACCUAUUCGCGCUACAAACACGCCUGAGACCCACCGCGCCACCAGUCCGCCAGACACUUCAACUACUUCUCUGGGCGCUUUUCAUUACGUACUUCAAACUUAGGACUUUUAUAAGAAUCAAACACAAACUUAAUCAGGACUCGAACCCAUGACCUCACAACUGCUCACCAGGCUCCUAUCAGCCUGAGCUACUGGAUCUGUCUGAUGCUCACUGUUUCUUUCACAUUUCACUCUUUUCAACCUCAACACUCCAAAAUUAAUCAAGAAUCGAACCCACCACUUUCAGUCUUCACAGCAGCGCUUUAUCUUCCUGAGCUAAUCAGCUGGGGAGAACCUUCUCUUUCGGAGAGGAUUUCACUCUUUGUUUUCCUCAUAAACUUUAAAAAUCACCUCAACUACCCAGGGAUUGAACCUGCAACCUCAGACCUACUAACCAGCCCUCUAUCAGCCUGAGCUACUGGAUCUGACUGAUGGUAUCUGUUUCUUUCACAUUUCACUCUUUUCAACCUCAACACUCCAAAAUUCAUCAAGAAUCAAACCCACCACUUUCAGUCUUCACAGCAGCACUUUAUCUUCCUGAGCCAAUCAGUUGGGGACAAACUUCUCUUUCGGAGAGAGAGAGAGGAUUUCACUCUUUGUUUUCCUCAUAAACUUUAAAAAAAUCACCUCAGCUACCCAGGGAUUGAACCUGCAACCUCAGACCUGCUCACCAGGCUCCUAUCAGCCUGAGCUACUGGAUCUGAAUGAUACUCACUCUUUCUUUCACAUUUCACUCUUUGUUUUUUUUUUUUGACAUAAACUUUAAAAAUCACCUCAACUACCCAGGAUUUGAACCCACAACCGCCACAAUAUUAGGAGAAUCGAACCUGCCACCUCAGAACUACUGAGCAGGCCGCUAUCAGCCUGAGCUACUGGAUCUGACUCAUGCUCUUUGUGUCUGUCACAUUUCACUUUUUUCAACCCCCAAAUUUCAAUCAAGAUUUGAACCCACCACCUCAAAACUUCAAACCCUACUUUCACCCUGCUGAGCUAACAGGAUGACACCAGCAAACACUCUCUGACUAGUCUGAGCACCAACUUUUUAAACAGUUACCAUUCAAACCAGCAGCCUCCACACCAGCUCAUCACAUACCUCAACCUGCCUUUCACUCUUUUAUUUCAAGAGCCGUCUUCAAAAGGCACACAGACUCCAGGCUCAUCACAGCUCAGUCACAGCCAAAGGGACAGUGUCUGUCAAGUCACAAUCGUGCGCGUGCAUACGCCCCUCACGCCCUGCCUACUCGCCAGUGCCUCUCCCCCGCGCAGGCGCACUGCCUGCCCUCACCUGCUCACGUACUUACAAGCUCACGCUCAAAUUGUAAACAAUGGCGACUCAUUCAAUCUCAGACCGAGACAACAAAAUAACAAGACUGACGAGCGGCAUGUCGGAGCUUCAGGGAGCUGCGCCAUUCGUGCCGACUCAGCGGCUUCUCUGCUCGACAACUGCUGCUCACCAGGGAAAUGGCGCUCUCUGCACAUCAAGUCAUCAACGACUUUGCCUCAGACCUGCUCAAGCUGGAAACUGUCAUCAGAUGGCUUUUCUUGCCAAUUAUGAAAUGGCAAAUAAAAAUUGCUUGAAACAUGA